rnacentral:rRNA from 1 species
UACAGAGGCCCCAAGCGUUACUGAGAAUCACUGGGUUUAAAGGGUGCGUAGGCGGGUCUUUAAGUCAGAGGUGAAAUCCUGGAGCUCAACUCCAGAACUGCCUUUGAUACUGAGGAUCUUGAGUUCGGGAGAGGUGAGUGGAACUGCGAGUGUAGAGGUGAAAUUCGUAGAUAUUCGCAAGAACACCAGUGGCGAAGGCGGCUCACUGGCCCGAUACUGACGCUGAGGCACGAAAGCGUGGGGAGCAAACAGG